AGUGAACGCUGGCGGUAGGCCUAACACAUGCAAGUCGAACGGCAGCACAGUAAGAGCUUGCUCUUACGGGUGGCGAGUGGCGGACGGGUGAGGAAUACAUCGGAAUCUACUUUUUCGUGGGGGAUAACGUAGGGAAACUUACGCUAAUACAGCAUACGACCUACGGGUGAAAGCAGGGGAUCUUCGGACCUUGCGCGAUUGAAUGAGCCGAUGUCGGAUUAGCUAGUUGGCGGGGUAAAGGCCCACCAAGGCGACGUUCCGUAGCUGGUCUGAGCGGAUGAUCAGCCACACUGGAACUGAGACACGCUCAAGACGCCUACGGGAGGCAGCAGUGGGGAAUAUUGGACAAUGGGCGCAAGCCUGAUCCAGCCAUACCGCGUGGGUGAAGAAGGCCUUCGGGUUGUAAAGACCUUUUGUUGGGAAAGAAAAGCAGCAGGUUAAUACCCCGCGGUUCUGACGGUACCCAAAGAAUAAGCACCGGCUAACUUCGUG
rnacentral:rRNA from 1 species